rnacentral:rRNA from 1 species
UACGUAGGGGGCAAGCGUUGUCCGGAAUCAUUGGGCGUAAAGAGCGCGUAGGCGGCCCGGUAAGUCCGCUGUGAAAGUCAAGGGCUCAACCCUUGAAUGCCGGUGGAUACUGUCGGGCUAGAGUCCGGAAGAGGUAAGCGGAAUUGCUGGUGUAGGGGUUAAAUCCGUUAAUAUCAGCAGGAACACCAAAAGCGAAAGCAGCUUACUGGAACAGAUCUGACGUUCAGGCACGAAAGCGUGGGGAGCGAAUGGG